rnacentral:rRNA from 1 species
AGAGAUGUGUGAUGACGCAUAUCAAUAAGCGGAGGAAAAGAAACUAACAAGGAUUCCCUUAGUAACGGCGAGUGAAGCGGGAAGAGCUCAAAUUUGAAAUCUUCAAGGUUCUACCUUGACGAAUUGUAGUUUAUAGAAGUGUUUUCUGUUAGUAGAGUGGCAAAAGUUCUUUGGAAUAGGACAUCAUAGAGGGUGAGAAUCCCGUAUUUGGUCAUUCCUCCUAGCUUUGUGAUACAGCUUUCAACGAGUCGGAUUGUUUGGGAAUGCAGUCCAAAGUGGGUGGUAAAUUUCAUCUAAAGCUAAAUAUUGGCGAGAGACCGAUAGCGAACAAGUACCGUGAGGGAAAGAUGAAAAGAACUUUGAAAAGAGAGUUAAACAGUACGUGAAAUUGUCAAAAGGGAAGCGUUUGACACCAGUGUUGUUUUUCCGAAAAUCAAUUACGAAUGUUUUGUUUUUGAGGAGUUAUGACUUCAUCGGCUUGCUCCUUUCUUUAUGAAACUUUCUUAAUGCACUUUUCGGUUAACAAGUCAACAUCAAUUUCUUUUGUUGUAAAAGGGUAUGAGGAAGGUGGCUUUCUUUUCGGAGAAAGUGUUUAUAGCCUUGUACCUCUGCAAUCGGAGAGAUUGAGGUCUGCAGCGUAGAUCCUUCGGGGUUAGAUACAUUUGUGCUAAGUUAUAGCUUUUCAUAGACAACUUGUUGACUAUGUUAAGUCUUGUAGCUUACUCGCUUAUGCUAUUUUACCUACGCUUAGGAUGUUGAAGUCAUCGUAUCGCGCGUGCUCGAGUCUAUACAUGACUCUGCGCAUAUCAAUAAGCGGAGGAAAAGUACUACCUACGCUUAGGAUGUUGAACUCUAUCACACACAG